rnacentral:rRNA from 1 species
UGAGUAACCUGCCCUUAACUCUGGGAUAAGCCUGGGAAACUGGGUCUAAUACCGGAUAUGACUCCUCAUCGCAUGGUGGGGGGUGGAAAGCUUUUUGUGGUUUUGGAUGGACUCGCGGCCUAUCAGCUUGUUGGUGAGGUAAUGGCUCACCAAGGCGACGACGGGUAGCUGGCCUGAGAGGGUGACCGGCCACACUGGGACUGAGACACGGCCCAGACUCCUACGGGAGCAG